rnacentral:rRNA from 1 species
AUUGAACGCUGGCGGCAUGCCUUACACAUGCAAGUCGAACGGCAGCACGGGAGCAAUCCUGGUGGCGAGUGGCGAACGGGUGAGUAAUAUAUCGGAACGUGCCCAGUCGUGGGGAUAACGUAGCGAAAGCUACGCUAAUACCGCAUACGAUCUAUGGAUGAAAGCGGGGGAUCGCAAGACCUCGCGCGAUUGGAGCGGCCGAUAUCAGAUUAGGUAGUUGGUGAGGUAAAGGCUCACCAAGCCGACGAUCUGUAGCUGGUCUGAGAGGACGACCAGCCACACUGGGACUGAGACACGGCCCAGACUCCUACGGGAGGCAGCAGUGGGGGAAUUUUUGGGACAAUGGGCGCAAGCCUGAUCCAGCAAUGCCGCGUGCAGGAUGAAGGCCUUCGGUUGUAAC